rnacentral:lncRNA from 1 species
UCUGCCUGUUUUAAGUUUUUUUUUAGUUUUUUUCAAGUUUUUUUUAGAAAUACUAUUCUUUUUUCUCUUUUUGUAGUUGUCUUUGGUUUUUUUCUGCCUGUUUUAAGUCUUUUUUUUAGUUUCUUUUUAAAUUUUUUAAAGUUGUUUAUUCUCAGAAAUAGUAUUCUUUUGUCUUUUUUGUUUUCUUUAGUUUGUUUUCUUCAGGUUUUUUUUUUCCUAUUUUUUUGCCUGGCACCUCUGUCUGGAUGAGCUACUCUUAGUCUGGUCUCUCCCCCUGGACCUGUUUGCCUUGGGUGACCUUUCAGAGGCACAAAGCCCUGACAACAUAGCUCCUGGGAUCAUUGGGACACACAAACCCCUCCACCACGAUAAGGUGGUAGCUCAAGGAGGGGAAAAAACCCUCACGAGAGGGAAAAACCGCAAGGGUUUUUUUUUCUGUGCGAAACACCCGGUUUAGGGUGGGGUUUUUUUUGUUUGUUUUUUUUUUCAAAAAUACUUUUCUUUGUUUUUAGUUUCCUAUAUAUCUUUUUUAUUUUUCUGCCUGUUUUAAUUUUUUUUUAGCUUUUUUUGUUAUAUAUAUAUUUAAAGUGUUUUUUUUCAGAUAUAUUUUUCUUUCUGUUUUUUUAUUUUAUUUAUACUAUUCUUUCUCUUUUUUAAGUUUUCUUUAGUUUUUUUCAGCCUGUUUUUAGUUUUUUUUAUUUUUAUAUAUAUAUAUAUGUGUAUUUAAAGUGUUUUUUUCAGAUAAACUUUACUUUCUUUUUUUUAUUUUGUUUAUACUAUUUUUUCUCUUUUUUUAGUUUUCUUUAGUUUUUUUCUGCCUGUUUUUAGUUAUUUUUAGUUUUUUUGUUAUUUAUAUAUAUUUAAAGUGUUUUUUUUCAGAUAUACUUUUCUUUCUGUUUUUUCUAUUUUGUUUAUACUGUUCUUUCUCUUGUUUUAGUUUUCUUUAGUUUUUUUUGCCUGUUUUCAGUUUUUUUUAUUUUUUCCAGAAAUGCUUUUCUUUUCUUUAGUUUCCAAUAUAUCUUUUUUAUUUUUCUGCCUGUUUUAAGUUUUUUUUUUUAGAAAUACUGUUAUGUUUCUUUUUCUUUUAGUCUUUUUUUUUUACAAAUACUAUUCUUUUUCUUCUUUUUGUAGUUGUCUUUAGUUUUUUUUCUGCCUGUUUUAAGUUUUUUUUUUUAGUUUUUAAAAAAUAUUUUUUAAAGUUGUUUAUUUUCAGAAAUACUAUUGUUUUGUCUUUUUGUUUUCUUUAGUUUGUUUUCUUCAGUUUUUUUUUCCUAUUUUUCUUGCCUGGCACCUCUGUCUGGAUGAGUUACUCUUAGUCUGGUCUCUCCCCCAGGACCUGUUUGCCUUGGGUGACCUUUUAGAGGCAUAAAGCCCUGACAACAUAGCUCCUGGGAUCAUUGGGACACACAAACCCCUCCACCACGGUAAGGUGGUAGCUCAAGGAGGGGAAAAAACCCUCACAUGAGAGGGAAAAACCGCAAGGGUUUUUUUUUCUGUGCGAAACACCCGGUUUAGGGUGGGGUUUUUUUUGUUUGUUUUUUUUUUCAAAAAUACUUUUCUUUGUUUUUAGUUUCCUAUAUAUCUUUUUUAUUUUUCUGCCUGUUUUAAUUUUUUUUUAGCUUUUUUUAUUAUAUAUAUAUUUAAAGUGUUUUUUUUCAGAUAUAUUUUUCUUUCUGUUUUUUUAUUUUAUUUAUACUAUUCUUUCUCUUUUUUAAGUUUUCUUUAGUUUUUUUCAGCCUGUUUUUAGUUUUUUUUAUUUAUAUAUAUAUAUAUAUAUAUAUGUAUUUAAAGUGUUUUUUUCAGAUAAACUUUACUUUCUUUUUUUUAUUUUGUUUAUACUAUUUUUUCUCUUUUUUUUAGUUUUCUUUAGUUUUUUUCUGCCUGUUUUUAGUUAUUUUUAGUUUUUUGUUAUUUAUAUAUAUUUAAAGUGUUUUUUUCAGAUAUACUUUUCUUUCUGUUUUUUCUAUUUUGUUUAUACUGUUCUUUCCCUUGUUUUAGUUUUCUUUAGUUUUUUUUGCCUGUUUUCAGUUUUUUUUAUUUUUUCCAGAAAUACUUUUCUUUUCUUUAGUUUCCAAUAUAUCUUUUUUAUUUUUCUGCCUGUUUUAAGUUUUUUUUUAGAAAUACUGUUAUGUUUCUUUUUCUUUUAGUCUUUUCUUUUUACAAAUACUAUUCUUUUUCUUCUUUUUGUAGUUGUCUUUAGUUUUUUUUCUGCCUGUUUUAAGUUUUUUUUUUAGUUUUUAAAAAAUAUUUUUUAAAGUUGUUUAUUUUCAGAAAUACUAUUCUUUUGUCUUUUUGUUUUCUUUAGUUUGUUUUCUUCAGUUUUUCUUUUUUCCUAUUUUUCUUGCCUGGCACCUCUGUCUGGAUGAGCUACUCUUAGUCUGGUCUCUCCCCCAGGACCUGUUUGCCUUGGGUGACCUUUCAGAGGCAUAAAGCCCUGACAACAUAGCUCCUGGGAUCAUUGGGACACACAAACCCCUCCACCAUGAUAAGGUGGUAGCUCAAGGAGGGGAAAAAACCCUCACAUGAGAGGGAAAAACCGCAAGGGUUUUUUUUUUCUGUGCAAAACACCCGGUUUAGUGUUUAGUGUGGGUUUUUUUUUUUUUUUCAAAAAUACUUUUCUUUGUUUUUAGUUUCCUAUAUAUAUUUUUUAUUUUUCUGCCUGUUUUAAGUUUUUUUUUCAGAAAUACUGUUAUGUUUCUUUUUUUUAGUCUUUUUUUUUACAAAUACUAUUCUUUUACUUCUUUUUUCUAGUUUUCUUUAGUUUUUUUUCUGCCUGUUUUAAGUUUUUUUUUGUUUUUUGUUAUAUAUAUAUUUAAAGUGUUGUUUAGAUAUACUUUUCUUUUUGAUUUUUUAAUUUUGUUUAUACUAUUCUUUCUCUUCUUUUUGUUUUCUUUAGUUGUUUUUCUGCCUGUUUAAAGUUUAUUUUAGUUUUUUGUUAUAUAUAUAUUUAAAGUUUUUUUUAGAUAAACUUUUCUUUUUGAUUUUUUUAUUUUGUUCAUACUAUUCUUUCUCUUUUUUUAGUUUUCUUUAGUUGUUUUUCUGCCUGUAUAACGUUUAUUUUAGUUUUUUGUUAUAUAUAUAUAUUUAAAGUUUUUUAUAGAUAAACUUUUCUUUCUGUUUUUUUUAUUUUGUUUAUACUAUUAUUUCUCCUUUUUUAGUUUUCUUUAUUUUUUUCUGCCUGUUUUAAGUUUUUUUUUGUUAUUUAUAUAUUUAGAUUUUUUUUUUCAGAAAUACUUUUCUUUCUAUUUUUUAUUUUGUUUAUACUAUUCUUUCUCUUUUUUUAGUUUUCUUUAGUUUUUUCUGCCUGUUUUAAGUUUUUUUUGUUAUAUAUUUAUAUUUAAAGUGUUUUUUUCAGAUGUACUUUUCGUUCUGAUUUUUUUAUUUUGUUUAUACUAUUCUAUCUCUUUUUUUAGUUUUCUUUAGUUGUUUUUCUGCCUGUUCAAAGUUUAUUUUAAUUGUUUUGUUAUAUAUAUUUAAAGUAUUUUUUUUAGAUAAACUUUUCUUUCUGUUUUUUAUUUUGUUUAUACUAUUCUUUCUCUUUUUUAGUUUUCUUUAUUUUUUUCUGCCUGUUUUAAGUUUUUUUUUGUUUUUUUAGUUUUUUGUUAUAUAUAUAUAUAUAUAUAUAUAUAUAUAUUUAUAUAUAUAUAUUUAGUGUUUUUUAAAGUAAUACUUUUCUUUCUGUUUUUUUAUUUUGGUUAUACUAUUCUUUCUCCUUUUUUUACUAUUAUUUAGUUUUUUCUGCCUUUUUAAAUUUUUUUAGUGUUUUUUCAAGUUUUUUUAGAAAUACCAUUCUUUUUCUUCUUUUUGUAGUUUUCUUUAGUUUUUUUUCUUCUUGUUUUAAGUCUUUUUUUUAGUUUUUUUUUAAGUUUUUUUAAAGUUGUUUAUUCUCAGAAAUACUAUUGUUUUGUCUUUUUUGUUUUCUUUAGUUUGUUUUCUUCAGUUUUUUUUUCCCUAUUUUUUUGCCUGGCAC